ACCUCACAACCGACAUUACUCACCAUUCAGAUGUAUUGAGGGGGUGACAAAGAUUUUUGCAAACAUGCAAAAUGUAUUUGUUGUCACAUGACAACACUGGGGAACUAGAUAGGAGAGAGGUGGGGAGAGUACAGGAGGGGUUUAUAGAGCAGAGGGUAAAACUUCGGCGAGUUGGAGAGAGGGGAGGCAGUGAGCAUCACAGGACGAGGGAGAGAACGGAGACGAACACCCAGCUGUGUGCCGGUGUCGUGCCGAUGCCGUGCUGUGCUACCACCAGCUAAGAUUUUUCCUGUACCCUUUGCAUCCUUGUAGUACUCAGCCGGUUUCUCCACUUGCCUGCGCCAAACAGUAGGUCCGCUAAUAUAGCGUACUAUAUAGCCUGUAAUGGCUGGCAGGUAAGUGUACAGGAGGCGUAGUCACAUGGUACGGCUCUAACUAGCAGACCGCGUCUACUGAGCAGGCGCGUCCCGGUACCUCGCCUAGCGCUGUGUGGUUGCCAUGGGGACCGCGUACUACAGUGAAAAGUUGACAACGGGGGAACAUGCCGGAGAAAGCCCUGGUGACUGUGCGGUUCGGUCCGUACAUGAACGGCUCUGGAGUAGUGCAGCACGGUGUGUCCAGGCUGCAGGGGCUGCGAGAAAUCAUGGUUUAUGAAAACUACAGGCAGGGACAAAUUUCUUUUUUAAAGAUAAAAGUAGGAGUUUAUUUCGAGAAAGGAGACUCGGAGCUCUCUGCCAGCUCACGUGCUCCAAGCCUCUUCCACCGGAUUCCUCUACCACAGACACCAUGACGGAUAUGAAGCUGUUCUGGUCUCAGAUGGACACAAAGUUGUCUUGGAAGAAAUACUAGAUCGGGACACUGUGGAACUUAUGGUGAAUGGAGAGAUUAUAUUUCAGUGUAAUAUCAAGGAACUUGACUUUGGAGGUGAUGGCAAGUUG